UACGUAGGUGGCAAGCGUUGUCCGGAUUUACUGGGUGUAAAGGGCGUGUAGGCGGGGAUGCAAGUCAGAUGUGAAAUCCCGCGGCUCAACCGCGGAACUGCAUCUGAAACUGCGUCUCUUGAGUGUCGGAAGGGAAAGUGGAAUUCCUAGUGUAGCGGUGAAAUGCGUAGAGAUGUGGAGGAACACCAGUGGCGAAGGCGACUCUCUGGUCUGUUACUGACGCUGAGGUGCGAAAGCGUGGGGAGCGAAUAGGAUUAGA
rnacentral:rRNA from 1 species